rnacentral:lncRNA from 1 species
UAACUGUAUAAUACAUAUCCCUAUAUAAUACAUACUGCUCAUUUGUUUCAGUAAUUAUUCCUACAAAGUACUUAUUAAAAGUAAUAACUAACUGUUAAGGGGCCAUGCUGAUGUCUAUGAUAAUUUUCGUAUCUAAUUAAAUUUAAGGUUAUACUUCAGUAUUUAUUAUGAUGACAUAAUACACAAAAAAUACACAUAGUAUGUCUAUAUUUAGGUAUUUAUAUAUAAAUAUAAAUGAUAUAUAUUUAUAUGCCAAUUAUCUAUAACCUUCAUCUCUAUCUAUAUAUCUAUCUAUAUACAGAGAGAGAAAGAGGAGAGAAAUACUCUCCACAAAGCUCUUAAUAUAAUGCCUGGCUCAUAAUAAGUACCCUAUAACAAUCUUAGCUAUUUAAAAAAAAAAAGGGAAAAAAAUUAAAAAGGUAUCUUAAUUUAAAUUCAAUAUAACAGAUCAUUAUUCAGGAACUAUUAUCUGUGAAGCACUGUUCAAGGAAAUGCAUACAUAUUCACAUAUACAGAUAUUAAACAUGAUGUAUUAAACACCAGCUCCUUUAACAUAGGCUGCUCUAAAUAUAAGCAUUACAGAGGUAAUUUCUCAAGCAAAUUAGUCAAGUAACUUGUUUCUUGAUAACAGCACAGGGAAUCAAGGCUGCCAAAAUCAACAGUAUAUUUCAAAGGCUUCCAGGUUCUCUGUAACAAAGGCUGAGUAAGCCAUGACUCAUAAUCGGGAAACUUCUAUUUGAGGGCCUUAUUAUCUCUCUUCAUAUCUGGGGUGUGGGAAAGACUGGGAGCAGUGGACAGCAGGCAGGGAGGGGUUCCGUUCUGUUUCCAGUGACAUAAAGUGAGUGAGAAGCUCAUAGUGAAAGUUUCCCUGGAGUAGUAUUUUCUUGGUCAGUAGAGCCCCCCCCGAGAUGUGUAUACAGUGGUCUGAAAAUGUAUUCAGGACAACUGAGCUAUGUUAGAACUUAUAAUCUAUUCCAGUGUCUGGGGUUGAGUCAGUCAUGCCUCAUCACCCAAGAGCAAACUUAAACUGUGUCUUGAUUGAGCCACUGUGGAUUGCUUGCUGCUUCAGUCUGUGUUUUAUUUAUUUAUUGUGGGUGGAGGGAAGUAUGUUUUUAGGGCUCCAUCUCGAGUCUGCACAAAAUAUAAUUGAAAGAGAAGGGUUUUCCAGUUUGCCAAGAAAAGGUUUAAAUGGUGGCUGCCAUGUUCUGGUUGUGUGGGUGAGAAAUGCCCUAAUAUUUCUACACCAUAAUUUCCUAUCUUUUAAAAGUGAUAUUGGGAGUUCCUGCUGUGGCUCAGCAGGUAAAGAACCCAAUAUAGCACCCGUGAGAAUGCAGAUUUGAUCCCUAGCCUUGCUCAGUGGGUUUAGGAUCCAUUGUUGUCACAAGCUGAGGCAUGGGUCCCAGAUGUAUCUCGGAUCUGGUGUUGCCAUGGCUGUGGCACAGGCCAGCAGUGGCGGCUCUGAUUCAACCCCUAGCCUGGGAACUUCCAUGUGUGGCAGGUGUGGCCCUAAAAAGAAAAAAAGAAAAAA